ACUCCUACGGGAGGCAGCAGUGGGGAAUAUUGGGCAAUGGGGCGAAAGCCUGACCCAGCAACGCCGCGUGAAGGAAGAAGGUCUUCGGAUCGUAAACUUCUAUCCUUGGUGAAGAUAAUGACGGUAGCCGAGAAGGAAGCCCCGGCUAACUACGUGCCAGCAGCCGCGGUAAU
rnacentral:rRNA from 1 species